GAUGAACGCUGGCGGCGUGCCUAAUACAUGCAAGUCGAGCGAACAGACGAGGAGCUUGCUCCUCUGACGUUAGCGGCGGACGGGUGAGUAACACGUGGAUAACCUACCUAUAAGACUGGGAUAACUUCGGGAAACCGGAGCUAAGACCGGAUAAUAUAUUGAACCGCAUGGUUCAAUAGUGAAAGACGGUUUUGCUGUCACUUAUAGAUGGAUCCGCGCCGCAUUAGCUAGUUGGUAAGGUAACGGCUUACCAAGGCGACGAUGCGUAGCCGACCUGAGAGGGUGAUCGGCCACACUGGAACUGAGACACGGUCCAGACUCCUACGGGAGGCAGCAGUAGGGAAUCUUCCGCAAUGGGCGAAAGCCUGACGGAGCAACGCCGCGUGAGUGAUGAAGGUCUUCGGAUCGUAAAACUCUGUUAUUAGGGAAGAACAAAUGUGUAAGUAACUAUGCACGUCUUGACGGUACCUAAUCAGAAAGCCACGGCUAACUACGUG
rnacentral:rRNA from 1 species